GACGAACGCUGGCGGCGUGCUUAACACAUGCAAGUCGAACGAGAAUCUGCGGAAAGAGGAUUCGUCCAAUUGAAGCAGAGGACAGUGGCGGACGGGUGAGUAACGCGUGAGGAACCUGCCUUUCAGAGGGGGACAACAGUUGGAAACGACUGCUAAUACCGCAUGACACAUCGGAGUCGCAUGGCAUUUAUAUCAAAGAUUUAUCGCUGAAAGAUGGCCUCGCGUCUGAUUAGCUAGUUGGUGAGGUAACGGCCCACCAAGGCGACGAUCAGUAGCCGGACUGAGAGGUUGAACGGCCACAUUGGGACUGAGAUACGGCCCAGACUCCUACGGGAGGCAGCAGUGGGAAUAUUGGGCAAUGGGCGCAAGCCUGACCCAGCAACGCCGCGUGAAGGAGAAGGCUUUCGGGUUGUAAACUCUUUGUCAGGGACGAGUAGAAGACGGUACCUGACGAAUAAGCCACGGCUAACUACGUGCCAGCAGCCGCGG
rnacentral:rRNA from 1 species